CCCAUUCUCACUCCAAAGGCGUCAAAAACCGAAGCAUGGUCAAGCGCCCCUAGCGUCACUUUUAUGACGCCAAAUGUGCCUCUCGGCGUCGACUAUCGAAGCACUACGACCUUCAUUGCUUUCAAUGGGAAACUUUUGGCGUCAGAAUUCGACACGAGGACAUGAGAUGUUUAUCGCUAUGAAAUCACGUUCAAGAAGUCUCAUUCAGCACACAUCGCGCGAUACUUGCUAUCAGUUCCACAGUUUGGCUGAAAAGACGUAAAGGCAGUCAGCCCAGUGGUGUUUCUGGAGAGGGAUUCCUUCAGAAAUGGAGAAGACAGAAAGCUGCGGAGGCAGAUAUUUGCAGCAGAUUGUUUGAGGAUAACACUGCAGUUCUCCAUCAUGCACAAGGACUCACCUCGUUAACUCUUUAUCCCCCACACACACAGAUAUGGUCCCUGGAUCAGUGAUUAGACUUUGCAGUGGUUAGAUUUUUGCAGAAGAUGUAACUUUGUUUUAUUUAUAAGCUCAUAAUGAAUACAUUACAGAACCAGUGAUGAAAACAAUAGUUAAAAAUAGUAUUUUUCGUAUUGAUAAAGCAUUUUGUUCUCUUUUUCAAGCUUCAUACAGUGAACUUUUUAGACUUUAAUUAAGAGUUUUAGUAAAGGAGAUAUUCAUACACAGUCAUCCCCUAGCUCCAGUCAUGAAGUGAAUUCAUGAUGUUAUUGUCAAAGCUAGCAGGUGUUUGUUUUCCUGAACACUUUCUCUGUCUUCCAUUGUUCAGACAAUCAGUGUUUAUUUUAUGCUGUGCUGAUUG